rnacentral:pre_miRNA from 1 species
GUCACAUGGAGAGUUCAUGUCACAUGGAGAGUUCAUGCCACAUGGAAAGUUCGUGAACUCUUCAUGUGGCAUGAACUCUCCAUGUGGA